AAUGCAUCUUGCGCUCUUUGGUAUUCCGAAGAGCAUACCUGUUUGAGUGUCAUUAAAUUCCCUCAACCACAUUUCUUAUUUUGAAGUGAGGCUUGGAUGGCUGGAGUGUUGCAGGCAAUUUUCAUGUUGUGUCUGCUCCUCUAAAAUACAUUAGUGGAGAUAUAAUCCUUUUCACAAAAGGCUUUUGAUUUUCUUCCAUAUGGUGUGAUAGAUGUUUUCUUACCACCGAUUUGUGAGAUUAGGCCUGAGGGGAUGUCUUGCUUUGCUCUACAACUGUCUUGUUUUAAAAGACUGAACUUGAACUCAAGUUCAUUAUUUGACAUUUGAUCUCAAAUCAGGUAGGAUUACCCGCUGAACUUAA
rnacentral:misc_RNA from 1 species